rnacentral:misc_RNA from 1 species
UCUACUUGGUGAAAUUAGAGAUGCUGUCAAAAGCCUUAGAGCUGGAUACAUGAGGAUUAUGCGGUUAUGUGGUUGUAUUUCACAGGUGGUUCAAGCCUAGAGCGGAUAACUUCAGCAGAAAGGAAAAAUUAAACAACUUGGACGAAUGGACUCUUGUUGGGGCUGCCACUGCAUGGAAGGCAAACAAACUUACCCUUGCGUUCUGCUAUUGUUGUCAAAUUGCACUUGUUCGACAUUCUCACAGGCCCUCUACUGUGUUAACAACAACGCAUCAUAUGUUGAAUGAUGAUGGUGGUAUAUAGGGUGAGAGUAUAGCUGCACGUAUUACUUGUUUCCUUUGAUGCUGAAGUAUUGUCCUCGGGGCAUUCUCCCAGGUCUGUUUGUUCUUUCCUUAUUUUGAAGUAAUUCAAGUUGUUAGGCUAGGUGCAUUUUGCUCAUGCACAUGUGUCCCUAAAGAAAGGGUGAAAACUGACAAGGAACACUAUAGUUUGCCUACUUUAGCUGUAUGGUUUCCAUAUUCUUACCAGCUAUGGGCGUUUUGUGUCUACGUCUUGAUGCAAAUGAAUCUAAAAAGUG